UGGUGACCUGGGCCAGCCAGAACAGGAAGACAUGAGCAGGCCACAGAAGUGCUAUGAUGCAUCGCUUAAUGAGUCCAGCGAGGGAACUCUGGGGACUAACGAGUGACUGGUGGAAAGUUCCAGAAGAUGUAAGAGUGAACACUGAGGCUCCUCCUUCGAUCUCUGAUCUGCAGCUAGCAGGAUGAAUUAUAGAAAACAGUCAAACUCACAGGGAUGGAAGCCAGAACCCCUCAGCAUUCCUCUUACUUCCACCUCCCAUAAAAUCUGGAUUUGCAG